rnacentral:rRNA from 1 species
AUACGUAGGUGACAAGCGUUAUCCGGAUUUACUGGGCGUAAAGGGCGUGUAGGCGGUCUUGCAAGUCAGAAGUGAAAUUCCUGAGCUCAACUCGGGCGCUGCUUCUGAAACUGCAGGACUUGAGUGCUGGAGGGGAUAGCGGAAUUCCUAGUGGAGCGGUAAAAUGCGCAGAUAUUAGGAAGAACACCGGUGGCGAAGGCGGCUAUCUGGACUGUAACUGACGCUGAGGCGCGAAAGCGUGGGGAGCAAACAGGAGUAGAUACCCUGGUAGUCCACGCCGUAAACGAUGAGUACUAGGUGUAGGGGGUAUCGACUCCCUCUGUGCCGCAGUUAACACAAUAAGUAUUCCGCCUGGGGAGUACGGCCGCAAGGUUGAAACUCAAAGGAAUUGACGGGG